rnacentral:lncRNA from 1 species
UUGGAUCUGCCUUUUUUAUUUUCCCAAAAAAAAAAAAAGAAUAUUUAGUUUGUGUGAUGUAUGUCUCUUACAUAUUCCCAUAAAGCAUCACAAAACCAUUUAUAAUGACAAGCAUGAAAGUUACAACUUAUGUGUGUUGCCCUAAUUAUAUCUUUCUCUGCAUUCGUGCCUUUCCUGUCUGUUUUUUCCAGUCUCUUAACUACUCUUUUUCCUGUCCUAAAUUAAAUAAACUUACAAAUUAAUUCCAAUCGCCCCAAAACGCAAAAUAUUAAAUUUUUG